rnacentral:rRNA from 1 species
GACGAACGCUGGCGGCGUGCCUAAUACAUGCAAGUAGAACGCACAGUUUAUACCGUAGCUUGCUACACCAUAGACUGUGAGUUGCGAACGGGUGAGUAACGCGUAGGUAACCUGCCUGGUAGCGGGGGAUAACUAUUGGGAACGAUAGCUAAUACCGCAUAAUAUUAAUUAUUGCAUGAUAAUUAAUUGAAAGGUGCAAUUGCACCACUACCAGAUGGACCUGCGUUGUAUUAGCUAGUAGGUGAGGUAACGGCUCACCUAGGCGACGAUACAUAGCCGACCUGAGAGGGUGAUCGGCCACACUGGGACUGAGACACGGCCCAGACUCCUACGGGAGGCAGCAGUAGGGAAUCUUCGGCAAUAGACGAAAGUCUGACCGAGCAACGCCGCGUGAGUGAAGAAGGUUUUCGGAUCGUAAAGCUCUGUUGUAAGAGAAGAACGGGUGUGAGAGUGGAAAGUUCACACUGUGACGGUAUCUUACCAGAAAGGGACGGCUAACUACGUG